UGCGCCUUGCCAGCCCGCUCAGAAACUUCAAGGAAUGGACGGGGACCCGCACAAGCGGUGGAGCAUGUGGUUUAAUUCGAAGCAACGCGAAGAACCUUACCAAGUCUUGACAUCGGAAUGACCGUCCCGUAACUGGGGCUUCCCUUCGGGGCAUUCCAGACAGGUGGCGCAUGGUUGUCGUCAGCUCGUGUCGUGAGAUGUUGGGUUAAGUCCCGCAACGAGCGCAACCCUUAUCCUUAGUAGCCAGCAGUUCGGCUGGGCACUCUGGGGAGACUGCCAGGGAUAACCUGGAGGAAGGUGGGGAUGACGUCAAAUCAUCAUGCCCCUUAUGAUUUGGGCUACACACGUGCUACAAUGGCGUAAACAAAGGGAAGCAAAGGAGUGAUCCGGAGCAAAUCUCAAAAAUAACGUCUCAGUUCGGAUUGUAGUCUGCAACUCGACUACAUGAAGCUGGAAUCGCUAGUAAUCGCGGAUCAGAAUGCCGCGGUGAAUACGUUCCCGGGUCUU
rnacentral:rRNA from 1 species